AUUGAACGCUGGCGGCAGGCUUAACACAUGCAAGUCGAACGAGUGGCGGACGGGUGAGUAACGUCUGGGAAACUGCCUGAUGGAGGGGGAUAACUACUGGAAACGGUAUCUAAUACCGCAUACCAUCAGAUGUGCCCAGAGGGGCUAGGCUAGUUGGUGGGGUAACGGCUCACCAAGGCGACGAUCCCUAGCUGGUCUGAGAGGAUGACCAGCCACACGGGAACUGUGACACGGUCCAGACUCCUACGGGAGGCAGCAGUGGGGAAUAUUGCACAAUGGGCGAAAGCGUGAUGCAGCCAUGCCGCGUGUAUGAAGAAGGCCUUCGGGUUGUAAAGUACUUUCAGCGGGGAGGCGUUACCCGCAGAAGAAGCACCGGCUAACUCCGUGCCAGCAGCCGCGGUAAUUC
rnacentral:rRNA from 1 species